UACGUAGGCAGCGAGCGUUGUUCGGAGUUACUGGGCGUAAAGGGUGUGUAGGCGGGUCUUUAAGUUUGGUGUGAAAUCUCCCGGCUCAACCGGGAGGGUGCGCCGAAUACUGAGGGACUUCGAGUGCGGGAGAGGAAAGUGGAAUUCCUGGUGUAGCGGUGAAAUGCGUAGAUAUCAGGAGGAACACCGACGGCGCAGGCAGCGUCCUGGCCGCUUGCUGACACUGAGGCACGAAAGCUGGGGGAGCAAACAGG
rnacentral:rRNA from 1 species